GCGACCCCAGGUCAGGUGGGACUACCCGCUGAGUUUAA
rnacentral:rRNA from 2 species